GUCCUAGCCCUAAACGAUGCUCAUUAGGUGUGGGAGGUAUCGACCCCUUCCGCGCCGUAGCUAACGCAUUAAAUGAGCCGCCUGGGGAGUACGGCCGCAAGGUUGAAACUCAAAGGAAUUGACGGGGGCCCGCACAAGCGGUGGAGCAUGUGGUUUAAUUCGAUGCAACGCGAAGAACCUUACCAGGGUUUGACAUGUCACGUAGUUCUUUGAAAGAAGAAUGUGCCUUCGGGAACGUGAACACAGGUGGUGCAUGGCUGUCGU
rnacentral:rRNA from 1 species